CAUAGACAAUAAAAAUUGCUCAGUGACUUUUUCUAACCUUUCUAACCUGUAUUUUACUCCCCGAGACCACGCUCCACUUUGCAUUCAUAGACAAUGAGCCAGGAAACCUGAAAGGGUGCCACUCACGGCUAAGGACAGCUUCACCUAAAAGAAACAGCUACCGGUGCCAAACCUGUCUCCAGAAGUCUUGCAUUUUCCAGGCCCUGACCUUUAUGGAGAAAGUGCUAGGCACAGAGAGGAAGCUCAGCGGGGACUUCAAUACAACAGACUAAGCAAAGAAGCAGAGAGGUCCUUCUGAGCUGGUGUCACUUCUUGGGAAAAUAAUUCUGUUUAUGUAAGCACCUGUGUAACACAGCCUUACAAUGAUAAGGACUAUUGUUUUAUAUCCUUCCCAAGGUUCACUCUCUUUUACCUUAUAUGAUGUUAGGGGUUUCUGUAGGCAUCUUAAAGACAUCCUUACCUUGACAGAAGCCUCGUGACUUGGCUCGGAAGGCAGGAAGUAACAAUGCUAUCAGUUCUUUCUUCCUAUGUAUUUUCCCUCCUCAAAUGCUGUGCUACCUAGAAUACACAGG
rnacentral:lncRNA from 1 species